AAACGACUCUUGGCAACGGAUAUCUUGGCUCUUGCAUCGAUGAAGAACGUAGCGAAAUGCGAUACUUGGUGUGAAUUGCAGAAUCCCGUGAACCAUCGAGUCUUUGAACGCAAGUUGCGCCCAAAGCCUUCUGGCCGAGGGCACGCCUGCCUGGGCGUCAUGA
rnacentral:rRNA from 1 species